UUUUUUUUUUUUUUUUUUAUAUAACACUUAAAGGUUUCUUUGAAAACCCUCCUUUCCUUAAAGCACAUUUUUCUGACAUAAACUCAUGACUAAUCUUUGUGCAAUCAUGAACUUUUGACCAAUAAUUGUUGUUUUGUGUCCGCUCCAGCCAUUUUUGUACAUGUUGUAUAGACACUUGUGCCUUUUAGGAGUUUAUGUUUAGAAGCUGUACAGAUUGUUGAAUAUCUAUAUACAUAAAAUAUAUAUUAUAUAUGUAUAUGAAAACCAGGUAGUUAUUUGUGUUUAGAAAGAAAAAAAAAAACCCUGUCAAAUAAAUCAAAUGAUUAAAUUAUAUGUUGCACUGUUAAAUAUAAAUUUUUAUGGCUGUGGGGCAGAGUUUCUGUGUAUAAAUUAGUAUGUAAACUCCAUAUUUAUUGUAUUCAUAUUAGUCUUUGAAAAUGGGUCUGUCCUUCCUGUGUAAGACAGUAACUUUACACUUCAGACAGAUUUUCUGUGUCAUGAAAUGUUUCAGUAAAAUAUUGUUUACUGACUUUACCUUUGCUUCACUUGUGCCUUCUUUAUAUAUUUGGCGAUCAGUAAUCUGUGUUCCGAAUAUAGCCGUAGGUCACAUUCUGUCUACGCUCAGCCUCACCCUUAGUUUUGAGAAACGGGGGCUUUACUGGUGUUACUGCCGUGCGAAGCUCCGUGAAACCCACCCAACUGUGAGGAGUAACUUCAUAGCCAUGAACUUCUAGAAGGUUCGCUACUUAGAACUCUUUUUGUAAAUGCAUAUGGCACAGAGCCUGGAAUGGGCAAACUUCCUCAAUGCAGGUGGGACCAUUUCUGGUAAGCAGAAAAUAAGUUACCAAAACAGUUGUCCUGAGAACUUGGCUGAGGCCCGUGCUCCACUCCCAGGUCUGUCCAGUAGCCACGGACUCUUUCUUUCCCUCCUAAUAAGUCCUGUUUUUUUAUGCUCCGAGAGCUCUCUGACCAGUAGCGAACCACGGAGGGCCCAAGAUUUACAGAAGAACCAAAUUCAGACUUUGAAUUAUUUACGUGAUUCUCUUUAGAAAUGAUGCUUUCCUGUCCUGGGAGGCUUAACUGCCCUUAUUCAGAAAAAAAUUCAGUUACCUUGGCAGCGAUUGGCAUUAUGACCUAAGCGUCACAGAUGCUGGAUCUGUGAGAACGUGUUUUAACAUUGGAAUUGAGUAUGUCGCACAUCGUGAAGGCAAUGCGUUCACAUUUUUUAAAGGCGGCCUCCUUUGUGGGGAUACCAGGGCUCUGAAGCCGUUGAGACCACAGACUGUUUGGGGGAAGUAUUCUAAGGAGUUUGGAGACCUGCUAUUCGAGCUUACGUCCUAGUAGAACAAGCACAAGGCGCAGAGGAUCUCAAGAGGCGAAGGAGCUUCACCUUCCGCGGGUUCACGGGUUCGGUCACCGCAGCCUACCUCGGCCCAGAAGCAGGUGGUCUCCCUCUGGCCCACCCCCAGCAGACAAGAAGGCUGUGUCUCUCAUUGUUUUGCAUCUUCAUCAUGCUGGUGCAGGAGUGGUAUUUAAAAAGUUUGCGUGACAACAGCGUUGCACGUAAGCAAUGGUGCAGGAAGCGUGAAGAAGAAUCAAGACGAAGGGAGCCGACAGUGUUUCAGUGGUCUAGCAAGAACCCAGCAACGCCGUGGUAAUAUUGUGAAGAACAAGGGACAGAAUUGAAGAUGAUUAAAAGUGUGUGGGCUCGGGGCACUUGGGUGGCUCAGCGGGUUAAGCGUCCAGCUCUUGGUAUGGGCUCAAGUCAUAAUCUCCCAGUUCAUGAGUUCAAGCCCCACAUCGGGAUUCUUUCUGAGAUUCUCUCUCUUCUCUCUCUGUCCCUCCUCAGCUCUCUCUCAAAAUAAAUAAAUAAACUUAAAAGACUAAAAAGAAGUGUGUGGGCUCUUCAAGUGGAAAGGGCACCCGGUGGGUCAGAGUCCUUUCUUUAAUGUGCUAAUAAUUCAGCUCAGGAACUGGCAAUAACAGGACAGAAAAGUGAGAGGGAAAGGAAGUAACGCCGGGAGCAUGAAGGUAGAAACACAGUACCCGUUACCAAGCUGACCACAGUUCUUUUUAAUUGGAAGACUCAAUAAAAUUACAGAAGACAUUUGUUGACAAUUCAGAUAGAUGAGGAUCAAUGUCCAAGAAGAUUGGGCCAACUGUAGUGAGGGGCUGGAUGUAAGACAAAAUUUAACAGGAAAAAAUGAAACUGCAUUUAAAAAUGUGGCCGUUUGGGGGGGCGCCUGAGUGGCUUAGUUGAGUGUCCGACUUUGGCUCAGGUCAUGAUCUCGCGGUCUGUGAGUUUGAGCCCUGCGUCGGGCUCUGUGCUGACAGCUGGGAGUCUGGAGCCUGCUUCGGAUUCCGUGGCUCCCCCUCUCUCUGCCCCUCCCCCGCUCAUGC